UAUAUAUAUAUAUAUAUAUAUAUUUAAACAGACACACAUACCGCACAUAGAGUUGUGCCCUAAAGUUUGCAUACCCCUUGCAGAAUCUGCUAAAUCUUAACACUGUUAACAAAAUCAAAAUCCCAUGUUGUUUUUUAAUUAGUACUGUCCUGAAUAAACUAUUUCACAUAACAGAUCUUUACAUACAGUCCACAAGACAAGAUAAUAGCUGAAUUUAUAAAAAAGUACCCCGUUCAAAAGUUUACAUCCCCUUGAUUCUUAAUACUGCGUGUCGUUACGUGAAUGAUCCAGGACUGUGUUUAUGUUUUGUGACAGUUGUUCAUGAGUCCCUUGUUUGUCCUGAGCAGUUAAACUACCCACUGUUCUUCAGAAAAAUCCUCCAGGUCCUGCACAUUCUUUACUUUUCCAGCAUCUUCUGCAUAUUUGAGCCCUUUCCAGCAGUUACUAUAUGAUGUUGAGAUCCAUCUUUUCACACUGAGGACGACCGAGGGACUCGUACACAACUACUACAUAAGGUGCAAAUGUUCACUGAUGCUCAAGAAGAUACUUUUGAGCAGGAUGAUCGGUGUAAAUUGUUAUUGUUUUGUUUCUUUUUCUUUUUUUUCAUUUAGUGCUGCCUUUCAGAAGCUAAAUAAGAUAAUUACAUGUCUCCCAGAAGACAAAAUACGCAUGGUUUUAAGGGUUAAUCAAGGGUGUGUAAACUUUUGAACGGGGGUACUUGUUAUAAAUUCAGCUAUUAUCUUGUAUUGUGGACUAUAUGUGAACAUCUGUUAUGUGAAAUAGCAUAUUCAGGACUGUACUAAAUAAUAAAAAAACAACAUGGGAUUUUUAUGAUCUCUCAUAUUUUGUUAACAUUAUGAUUUCCCAGAUUUUGCAAGGGGUAUGCAAACUUAUGGGCACAACUGUGUGUAUAUAUACAUAUAUAUAAUUUAUUAUAUAUGUGUGUGUGACAUUUGAAUAUUUGUAGUUGCCUGGCUGCUUUGUAAAGGCAUUGAAUUGUAAAUAAUCUCUCAUUUUAUAAUAUCCUUUCUCUUUUCUUUCUUCUGUAUUGUUCAUUUGAAGAAGGCUGAAACAUAAUUGCCACUUAUACGCUUUACUGACUUGCGUUAUAUCAAAUGAUGAUAUACAUUUUUACUAAGCAUUGUACAAAAAAAUUAUAUUUGUAUAAAUAUAUGAAUAUAUGAAUAUAUAAAUAUCCCCAUUCAGGGAGACAGCCAGUAUCAUUUUCUAUGUAAUAUUCAGGAUAGUACUGUAAACUAACGAUGUAGUAGUGUUUGUUUGUCGUUUCUUGCAUCGUUUCUUGUCUGUAAGUCAAAUCAAAGUUUGUGUUUAACGUUUCAAAAUACAUAAAGAACCCACGACAAUCCUGCACUUACAUUUUGUAAUAUGUUCAUUUCCAACCUGCACAGUAUUGGACUGAUCAUUAGACUUGUCAAAAUUCUGACUGUGAUUGUUUUUGUAGGAGGCCACAUCAUUUUGGUCAGGAAUAAAAUCCAUUUGCAAGAAAACAGUAAGACAAGUGACUUCUGGGCUUACUUAACUGGAC
ensembl:lncRNA